rnacentral:rRNA from 1 species
GACGGAGGAUGCAAGCGUUAUCCGGAAUGAUUGGGCGUAAAGCGUCCGCAGGUGGCAGUUCAAGUCUGCUGUCAAAGACCGGGGCUUAACUUCGGAAAGGCAGUGGAAACUGAACAGCUAGAGUAUGGUAGGGGCAGAGGGAAUUCCCGGUGUAGCGGUGAAAUGCGUAGAUAUCGGGAAGAACACCAGUGGCGAAAGCGCUCUACUGGGCCAUAACUGACACUGAGGGACGAAAGCUAGGGGAGCGAAAGGG